GACGAACGCUGGCGGCGUGCCUAAUACAUGCAAGUAGAACGCUGAAGGAGGAGCUUGCUUCUCCGGAUGAGUUGCGAACGGGUGAGUAACGCGUAGGUAACCUGCCUGGUAGCGGGGGAUAACUAUUGGAAACGAUAGCUAAUACCGCAUAAGAGUAGAUGUUGCAUGACAUUUGCUUAAAAGGUGCAAUUGCAUCACUACCAGAUGGACCUGCGUUGUAUUAGCUAGUUGGUGAGGUAACGGCUCACCAAGGCGACGAUACAUAGCCGACCUGAGAGGGUGAUCGGCCACACUGGGACUGAGACACGGCCCAGACUCCUACGGGAGGCAGCAGUAGGGAAUCUUCGGCAAUGGACGGAAGUCUGACCGAGCAACGCCGCGUGAGUGAAGAAGGGUUUCGGAUCGUAAAGCUCGGUUGUAAGAGAAGAACGAGUGUGAGAGUGGAAAGUUCACACUGUGACGGUAUCUUACCAGAAAGGGACGGCUAACUACGUG
rnacentral:rRNA from 1 species